rnacentral:rRNA from 1 species
AGAGUUUGAUCCUGGCUCAGGAUGAACGCUGGCGGCGUGCUUAACACAUGCAAGUCGAACGGAGAUAUCAUUUUCGAAGCGAUUAGUUUACUAAGAGUGGAGAUGUUGGUAUCUUAGUGGCGGACGGGUGAGUAACGCGUGGGUAACCUGCCUUACACUGGGGGAUAACACUUAGAAAUAGGUGCUAAUACCGCAUAACAGGGAAAGAUGCAUGUCUUUUACCUUAAAAACUCCGGUGGUGUAAGAUGGACCCGCGUCUGAUUAGCUUGUUGGCGGGGUAACGGCCCACCAAGGCGACGAUCAGUAGCCGGCCUGAGAGGGUGAACGGCCACAUUGGGACUGAGACACGGCCCAAACUCCUACGGGAGGCAGCAGGUGGGGAAUAUUGCACAAUGGGGGAAACCCUGAUGCAGCGACGCCGCGUGAAGGAAGAAGUAUCUCGGUAUGUAAACUUCUAUCAGCAGGGAAGAAAAUGACGGUACCUGACUAAGAAGCUCCGGCUAAAUACGUG